GAUGAACGCUGGCGGCGUGCCUAAUACAUGCAAGUCGAGCGAACAGAUAAGGAGCUUGCUCCUUUGAAGUUAGCGGCGGACGGGUGAGUAACACGUGGGUAACCUACCUAUAAGACUGGGAUAACUUCGGGAAACCGGAGCUAAUACCGGAUAACAUUUAGAACCGCGUGGUUCUAAAGUGAAAGAUGGUUUUGCUAUCACUUAUAGAUGGACCCGCGCCGUAUUAGCUAGUUGGUAAGGUAACGGCUUACCAAGGCGACGAUACGUAGCCGACCUGAGAGGGUGAUCGGCCACACUGGAACUGAGACACGGUCCAGACUCCUACGGGAGGCAGCAGUAGGGAAUCUUCCGCAAUGGGCGAAAGCCUGACGGAGCAACGCCGCGUGAGUGAUGAAGGGUUUCGGCUCGUAAAACUCUGUUAUUAGGGAAGAACAAAUGUGUAAGUAACUGUGCACAUCUUGACGGUACCUAAUCAGAAAGCCACGGCUAACUACGUGCCAGCAGCCGCGGUAAUACGUAGGUGGCAAGCGUUAUCCGGAAUUAUUGGGCGUAAAGCGCGCGUAGGCGGUUUCUUAAAUCUGAUGUGAAAGCCCACGGCUCAACCGUGGAGGGUCAUUGGAAACUGGGAAACUUGAGUGCAGAAGAGGAAAGUGGAAUUCCAUGUGUAGCGGUGAAAUGCGCAGAGAUAUGGAGGAACACCAGUGGCGAAGGCGACUUUCUGGUCUGUAACUGACGCUGAUGUGCGAAAGCGUGGGGAUCAAACAGGAUUAGAUACCCUGGUAGUCCACGCCGUAAACGAUGAGUGCUAAGUGUUAGGGGGUUUCCGCCCCUUAGUGCUGCAGCUAACGCAUUAAGCACUCCGCCUGGGGAGUACGACCGCAAGGUUGAAACUCAAAGGAAUUGACGGGGACCCGCACAAGCGGUGGAGCAUGUGGUUUAAUUCGAAGCAACGCGAAGAACCUUACCAAAUCUUGACAUCCUUUGAAAACUCUAGAGAUAGAGCCUUCCCCUUCGGGGGACAAAGUGACAGGUGGUGCAUGGUUGUCGUCAGCUCGUGUCGUGAGAUGUUGGGUUAAGUCCCGCAACGAGCGCAACCCUUAAGCUUAGUUGCCAUCAUUAAGUUGGGCACUCUAGGUUGACUGCCGGUGACAAACCGGAGGAAGGUGGGGAUGACGUCAAAUCAUCAUGCCCCUUAUGAUUUGGGCUACACACGUGCUACAAUGGACAAUACAAAGGGCAGCUAAACCGCGAGGUCAUGCAAAUCCCAUAAAGUUGUUCUCAGUUCGGAUUGUAGUCUGCAACUCGACUACAUGAAGCUGGAAUCGCUAGUAAUCGUAGAUCAGCAUGCUACGGUGAAUACGUUCCCGGGUCU
rnacentral:rRNA from 1 species